CCUUCACACUCACAAUAGCCACCAAUAAAAAACUCAACUUUCUCUUUCUCUCUCUCCUCCGAAGGUCUCAUUUUCACUCUCUCGCUCUCUGCAACAAAGAAAAACCACCCUCAAAAGUCACAAGCGAGACCUGCAACCUACACCAUUGAAUCCCCCUCAACCCCACGAACACAACCAUGCAACCAGAUUCGAGAACGGAUGAGUUUUGACUCACUAACUCGGAAAGUCUGACUCAGUGAGUUUUGGUUCAACGAUUUUCAGGCCGUUCACGGCUUAGAAAGCUCGAGGGGGGAAAGACUGCUCAGUUUUCCAGCAAAGGAACUGUGACCAUUUGGUCACUUUCAACUCAUUUUUCCGACCAACCUCGACUACGACUGGAUUCCUAAUAGGAGCUUGUGAGAAAGGCGAGUACAGCCGUACUCGUAGGCGCAUGGGCACGAGUGGAAAGCCCAGCAUGGUCGGCAUGUGCAGCGCAUGGCUGCCAGUGCAGCCACUUGUGGAGGCGCGUGGCGGCGCGUCCAGCCUCCGAUUGACCUUCUGUCUAUUUGUGUAGGUCCGUGAUGUCGAGUAGAUCGAUUUCAUGUAUUCAAGCCCUAUGUUUGAGCAAUCUACAGAGGUUUUAUUUAAGUUUCCGUGUAUGUGUUAUUAAACUAAGUUAAUAAGUAAUUUCACAUAUAGGGGAAACGUAUCCCGAGGACGUACGAGGUCAAGCAAGGCUAGGAGGCUUCAUUUCGACUACGUAUCUGUGAAUGGGCAAUUUAUUUUAUACCUAUACAUAUUGAUAGUUUCCCUAAAUGUGUAGUUACUUCACUUUUUCGCUUAUAUUGCCAAGUAUCCGUUAUUAUGAUAUUAAAUGUGAUAAAUGCUGUUAUAUGGUUGAGAUAUUAUUGUCAUGACAUUCAUACACAUUUGUACAUGUUCAUCUUCCUGCACCGGUGUUAGUACUCGCCCCAGGGUCAAGGCCAGUCCUUCACGUGUAUGUUCACAUCGCACCGUUCGCUCUCUU